ACGACGCUUCAGAAUUGACUCCUCGUUUCUUCAAGCCAUUAACUGAUCUCACUCUCUCUCUAAUCUCCUUUCCUAGAAUAAAAAAUUUUGAUUUCAUUAUAAAAGAUGCGGCCACCCUUUGUCUUUGAUUCUUAGUUCUUCACAAAAUCACGACAUCAAUGUUUCACCUUCAAGCUACCUUGCUAUCAUCACCAAUUCAACGCUCAUGGAAUCAAGAAGUUCCAGCUUCAUCCCAAAAUCCUAAGCCCAUGAUAGAUAGCCCCCACAACCAAGUGUUGAUGUUGUUGGAACUACAGAUGGGCAGGUUGUUAGAGCAACAAAUGGACAAGUUAUUGAAGUUAUAAAAGAUGAUGAAGCCGGUCCAAGCUUUGUGGAUUUUGAUAUUUAGUUCAUGAAAAAUUGUUGUUUUUAUUUUAGUUAUUUAACAAACAUGAGGAUGUCGUGCUUAUCUUUUUCUUUAUGUUUUUACUUUUUUGUGUACCAGAAUGAAGUGUGAAUUGUUGAAUGUUUUAGUUAUCAUGAUUAUUACUAUGUCUUUUUU